AGUUCCUGUGAUUUUGAACUUUACCAUAAAGAUACGAACAGGCUUCACUUCUAAUGCAAGACAUCUGAGUAAAAGAUGGAGUCUCACUGUGUUGCCCAGGCUGGUCUCCAACUCCUGACCUCAAGCAAUCCUCCUGCCUUGGCCUCCUAAAGUGCUGGGAUUACAGGAUAAUGCUCUGGUAAGAACGUAAAGCAUUAGCUUUGGGAAAAAGAAGAUUUACUAUUUUCCACUCACUGAUCCAUCAAGGAAGACUCUACUCCAAUGCUCUGCUCCUUGUUCAUCUAUGAAACAAAUUAUAAGAGAGAAUAUGGAGUGGACAACGGAUGCACCCAGCUCAGUAACUAACAAUGUCUAAGUCAGUGCCCUGGAGCCAAUCUGUUCCUCCUCUCCCCACCCCCAUAAAUAAAGAUGAGAACGCUGACGCAUGCAGUAUUAGACAGCCGUGAGUGUGGAGACAGAUUCACACGGAGCCCACUGAGAGUCUGGCCUUUUAUGAGGAAGCUUCCUCCUUCUCUUCAACAAGAAGUCCGGGUCUGCAUCGCCCUGCUGAGGAUGCUAAUAUGCAAACGCAGUGAGUCUACAGAUUACAAGUGUAAUAACAUAAUGGAAUAUUUUAUAUAAAAUCUUGAAACGGACAAAUUUCACAUCAGGAACUGUUAGCAUAAUGUCAUGUGAUUCUAAUGCCUAUUAAAUUUUAAAGAUCAAUCAAUAAAUUAUAAAUU